GUGGCGCACGGGUGAGUACACGUAGCUAACCUGCCUUUCAGUGGGGGAUAACCUGGGGAAACUCGGGCUAAUACCGCAUAACCUCCGGGUUGCACAAGCAGCCGGGAGCAAAGGCCCGCAAGGGCCGCUGGAGGAGGGGGCUGCGGCCGAUUAGCUAGUUGGUGAGGUAAUGGCUCACCAAGGCGAUGAUCGGUAGCCGGCCUGAGAGGGCGCACGGCCACACUGGCACUGAAACACGGGCCAGUCUCCUACGGGAGGCAGCAGUGGGGAAUUUUGCACAAUGCCCGAAAGGGUGAUGCAGCAACGCCGCGUGAGGGAUGAAGGCCUUCGGGUCGUAAACCUCUUUCGAUCGGGAAAAACGGGCCGGUGAAGAGCCGGUCCUGAUGGUACCGGAUGAAGAAGCCCCGGCCAACUACGUGCCAGCAGCCGCGGUAAUACGUAGGGGGCGAGCGUUGUUCGGAAUUACUGGGCGUAAAGGGCGUGUAGGCGGUGCGGUAAGUCGGGCGUGAAAUCCCUGGGCUUAACCCGGGGCGGUCGCUCGAAACUGCCGUGCUAGAGUGUGGGAGAGGGAAGUGGAAUUCCCGGUGUAGCGGUGAAAUGUGUAGAUAUCGGGAGGAACACCUGCGGCGAAGGCGGCUUCCUGGACCAUAACUGACGCUGAGGCGCGAAAGCUAGGGGAGCAAACAGGAUUAGAUACCCUGGUAGUCCUGGCCCUAAACGUUGAGCACUGGAUGUAGCCCCUCACGGGGCUGUGUCGAAGCUAACGCAUUAAGUGCUCCGCCUGGGGAGUACGGUCGCAAGGCUGAAACUCAAAGGAAUUGACGGGGGCC
rnacentral:rRNA from 1 species